GUGGGGAAUAUUGCACAAUGGGCGCAAGCCUGAUGCAGCAACGCCGCGUGAGGGAUGACGGCCUUCGGGUUAUAAACCUCUUUUAGUAGGGAAGAAGCGUAAGUGACGGUACCUGCAGAAAAAGCACCGGCUAACUACGUGCCAGCAGCCGCGGUAAUACGUAGGGUGCAAGCGUUGUCCGGAAUUAUUGGGCGUAAAGAGCUCGUAGGCGGCUUGUCGCGUCUGCCGUGAAAACCCAGGGCUCAACUCUGGGCGUGCGGUGGGUACGGGCAGGCUAGAGUGCGGUAGGGGAGAUUGGAAUUCCUGGUGUAGCGGUGGAAUGCGCAGAUAUCAGGAGGAACACCGAUGGCGAAGGCAGAUCUCUGGGCCGUAACUGACGCUGAGGAGCGAAAGCAUGGGGAGCGAACAGGAUUAGAUACCCUUGUAGUCC
rnacentral:rRNA from 1 species